rnacentral:rRNA from 1 species
UACGUAGGGGGCAAGCGUUGUCCGGAAUUAUUGGGCGUAAAGAGCGCGUAGGCGGUCCGGUAAGUCGGCUGUGAAAGUCAAGGGCUCAACCCUUGAAAGCCGGCCGAUACUGUCGGACUAGAGUCCGGAAGAGGCGAGUGGAAUUCCCGGUGUAGCGGUGAAAUGCGUUGAUAUCAGGAGGAACACCCAUGGCGAAGGCAGCAAACUGGGCAUCAACUGACGCUGAGGCGCGAAAGCGUGGGUAGCAAACAGG